UACGUAGGGUGCAAGCGUUGUCCGGAAUUAUUGGGCGUAAAGGGCUCGUAGGCGGUCCAUCGCGUCGGGAGUGAAAAGCUGGGGCUUAACCCCAGUCCUGCUUCCGAUACGGGUGGACUAGAGGUAGGUAGGGGAGAACGGAAUUCCUGGUGUAGGCGGUGAAAUGCGCAGAUAUCAGGAGGAACACCGGUGGCGAAGGCGGUUCUCUGGGCCUUACCUGACGCUGAGGAGCGAAAGCAUGGGGAGCAAACAGG
rnacentral:rRNA from 1 species